GACGGAGGAUGCAAGUGUUAUCCGGAAUCACUGGGCGUAAAGCGUCUGUAGGUGGUUUAAAAAGUCCACUGUUAAAAAUUGAAGCUUAACUUCAAAGGUGCCGUGGAAACUUUUAAACUGGAGUAUGGUAGGGGUAGAGGGAAUUUCCAGUGGAGCGGUGAAAUGCGUAGAUAUUGGAAAGACCACCAAUGGCGAAGGCACUCUACUGGGCCAUUACUGACACUGAGAGACGAAAAGCUAGGGGGAGCAAAAUGGGG
rnacentral:rRNA from 1 species